rnacentral:rRNA from 1 species
UACAGAGGUCUCAAGCGUUGUUCGGAAUCACUGGGCGUAAAGGGUGCGUAGGCCGCACGGUAAGUCAGAGGUGAAAUCCCGGAGCUCAACUCCGGAAUUGCCUCCGAUACUGCCGUGCUUGAGGACUGGAGAGGAGAUUGGAAUUCACAGUGGAGCAGUGAAAUGCGCAGAUAUCGGGAGGAACACCCGUAGCGAAGGCGGCACUCUGGGCCGGAACUGACGCUGAGGAGCGAAAGCGUGGGGAGCAAACAGG